AGGGCACCACCAGGAGUGGAGCCUGCGGCUUAAUUUGACUCAACACGGGAAAACUCACCCGGCCCGGACACCGUAAGGAUUGACAGACUGAGAGCUCUUUCUUAAUUCGGUGGGUGGUGGUGCAUGGCCGUUCUUAGUUGGUGGAGCGAUUUGUCUGGUUAAUUCCGAUAACGAACGAGACUCUGGCCUAUUAAAUAGACGGAAUAUCACUUAAGUAUUCCGCGCUUCUUAGAGGGACAAGCGGCGUCUAGCCGCAUGAAAUAGAGCAAUAACAGGUCUGUGAUGCCCUUAGAUGUCCGGGGCUGCACGCGCGCUACACUGAAAGAAUCAGUGUGCUCACUCGCCUAGUUCGGAAGAACCGGGUAACCCAAGUAAAUUCUUUCGUGCUUGGGAUAGGGAAUUGCAAUUAUUUCCCUUAAACGAGGAAUUCCCAGUAAGUGCGGGUCAUAAGCUCGCGUUGAUUACGUCCCUGCCCUUUGUACACACCGCCCGUCGCUACUAUCGAGUGAUGAGUUAUCC
rnacentral:rRNA from 1 species